AGAGUGUGACGCUUUGUCCUCGCCUCCCAGGUAUGCCUCCGUCUCCACCACUCGGCCUCUCAGCUCCGUGCCAUCCUCACAUCUGCGGACCAGCACCUCCACGGACACAUAAUACAAAUCUUGUAAGUUAUUGUGCUUUCUGUGGGGUGCAUCAAGACAAAAGGUGACAUUAAUUGCAGAUACCUUCCCGAGCAAAGCUUUAGCCAAACUGAUGCAAGGCUGCCUGAAGAAAUCCUCUCCAAGUCGACGAUGCAGGUUAGUUUGAGCCCCUUUGAAAUAACGACUUUCUUCCGUCACAUUAAUCACGUGUUGUUUGGUUUUCUCGUCUAAUUCGCUUUCACUUCCGCGUUUGUUUUUUGUAUUAUGGUCGCCAUUGUGUGACGGAUGCUUUCUCUUGCGCUCUGCCAUUAGUGUAUGUGCCAAGGGACAAACAUUAGGGUUUUUAUUAGCGUUGUUUUGAAUAACGAAAGUAGAAUGUUGUGUUUCCUGGUCGUGGAGCUCGUGAUUAAAGCCAUGUAAGCGAACCAGGAAAUGAAACAACAUCAAUGGCGUUGCUCUUAAAGUGACCGCGCACUAUUUAUGCUGACGCUGUCGUG